AAGCAGCUCAACUGCCCGCCCUGUGGCUGUGCAUGCAUCCCUCCCAACCCUGCAGUUACAGACACAUCAAGAUAACCAAUCAUAUUAAAUUCCACAUAUAUAUGCUGAUCCAAGUCCAUAAGGUACCUACCUGAAGAGAGCUAUGAUGUUCAGAAGCAAUGCCAUUCUCCAGUCAAUAAGGAAGUUAGUACUAGGUGAACAACUGAUACAGAAUUCUACGUCACAUGAGCUUGCAUGUAAUUAUUUAUGUCGUUAUAUUUUGUAGCAGUCAUAGGCUCACAGAAAAUGAGAACUGAAAGAAAUGCUGGGACCCAUUUAGUCCACUUGCCCACAAAUACUUUCAGCUCUGAAAAUCUUCAUUUGAAAUUCUAUAUGGAGACCUCAUACAUACAACAGAGAGACUUGCAGCACUUUGAAGACCUUGGAGCCUAAGCUUAGCCCUCUGUGACAGGUCCUACGUGCCAAGAAUCUUUCAGAAACACUGCUCAAAAACCACUGUUCACUUUCAGUUCCUUCAUUUUCUAGAAAAAGCAGCUAAAGCAAGGGUAUAAGGCAAGUUAGCUGCAGAACUAGAACUUCUGAAUCAAUUUCAUCUUUUCUAACACACCACUACUUUUUGAGUAGGAACAAUGCUGUGUCUGUGUGCCGCACCUGGGCCACCACAGACAGACAGCAGUGCUUAGUACACGCUGUUUAAUAGAACAAUUGAUACAUAUCUGCUUUUCAACUUGAAAAGGCCAAAUCACCACCCAAGGUUCAAUAUAUGCAGAAAAAGGCCUGCAUGCUUUUUAUCAAAGGAGCUAGGGGUCACUUCAGUCACCAUACCUAACCUGCUUAGCUGGCACCAAGGACAUACCGCAAUACCAAUAAGAAGAUUAAAAUGUCAAACAGGAAAGCAGCUGGGGUAUGUAAUGGACUCAAAACCACAAAGAGGAAGAAUAUCUAUAUUGAAGAAAGUUCUUCCUGCCCAGGGCAAUUAAUGUGGUGAACAGAUGGGGAGAGAUGUGAACUAUUUUCAUGCUUUAAUGGGAUGAUAAAAGACACAAGGAAAUAAGCGGUAAAUCCACAGUGCAGGGGCAAACAUAAAGACCUGCUUUUUGUUUUCCAAGCAAUAUUUUUAAUUUCUAAGCAGUAAUAUCACUCAGAGUUUACCCUGUUAGUUCUUUCUCCAUCAUUAUAAAGGCACUGAGUACUGGAGAGCUGCAAUAAGACAUCCAGAGGUAAAUCACAGAGUCGUGCAGGGGUAGCAGUGGAAGCAAUUAAGAUGGAAAUGAGCUCCCGCAUUCUGGUAUACACCUUACCCCUGGCUGAGUUUGCAAAAAGGCAAGCUUCCCUUUAUUCAGAAGGUACCAUACAUGACAACAAUGAUGAUCAUGAGGUGGCAUUUGUAUCAGCUAUGAAGCAUCCGGUUUAAUGUUCAUACAGUUCAAUUGUGGA